AUUGAACGCUGGCGGCAGGCCUAACACAUGCAAGUCGAACGAGUGGCGGACGGGUGAGUAAUGUCUGGGAAACUGCCCGAUGGAGGGGGAUAACUACUGGCAACGGUAGCUAAUACCGCAUACCAUCGGAUGUGCCCAGAUGGGAUUCGUUAGUGGGUGGGGUAACGGCUCACCUAGGCAGCGAUCCCUAGCUGGUCUGAGAGGAUGACCAGCCACACGGGAACUGAGACACGGUCCAGACUCCUACGGGAGGCAGCAGUGGGGAAUAUUGCACAAUGGGCGCAAGCCUGAUGCAGCCAUGCCGCGUGUAUGAAGAAGGCCUUCGGGUUGUAAAGGACUUUCAGCGAGGAGGCGUUACUCGCAGAAGAAGCACCGGCUAACUCCGUGCCAGCAGCCGCGGUAAUAC
rnacentral:rRNA from 1 species